UACGUAGGGGGCAAGCGUUGUCCGGAUUUAUUGGGCGUAAAGAGCGUGUAGGCGGCUAGGUAGGUCUGCUGUGAAAACUCGAGGCUUAACCUCGAGAUGUCGGCGGAAACCAUCUGGCUAGAGUCCGGAAGAGGAGAGUGGAAUUCCUGGUGUAGCGGUGAAAUGCGCAGAUAUCAGGAAGAACACCCGUGGCGAAGGCGGCUCUCUGGGACGGUACUGACGCUGAGACGCGAAAGCGUGGGGAGCGAACAGG
rnacentral:rRNA from 1 species